UUCAACCACUAUGAUGGUUGUAAGUUUUCAUUUUUUAUCAAUAGAAUAUCAACCUUUUCGUCAAAAUAAAUAAAUAAAUAAAUAUAUUAGAAUCCGCGUUUCUUACUUGUCCCUACAUUUAGAGGUUAUAUAGCAUCAAUAUCUGGAAUAACAUAGAAAGAAGACGAUCCAUCGAUGAUGACCAAGAAUAGCGUUUUCCUUUUCUGUUUCUUUCUAUUGGCCUUCUUGAAUUUCCCGUUAGCUACUUCUUCCAGCGAUACGUCAUUAGAUGCAGAGAGAGAUUAUGCCGAGCAAUACCAAAUAUACCAAGUUGUUACACGACGAUUCCUAUCAUUGCCAGUAUAUGUCCCCUAGGGACAAUCUUAGAACGAGCUUGCUGGCUUCAUUUGAGAUGCGCCAUGUAGUUUUCCACUUUGAAGCUUUCAUCUGUUCAUCGUCCACUUUGAAGCUUUCAUCUGGCUUCAUUUGUGUGCCUGGUCGUACCGCAUUUGAUAUUUGCAGAUUGUGCUGUUGUGUGUGUAAGUAAUUGAACGUCUGUUCAUCGUCCAGUAUAACAUACGGAACAACUUGUAUUUGAGAUUACAAUUAUCUUGUUGUCAACUUCUCAUGAAAAGGGACGGUUUCAGUGUUUCUGUUUUUUA